ACAUGGAUGGUGGUUUUGAAUCUAGGAUCCACUGGCUUACUGGUUUCAUGGUUGAUGAAGUACGCUGACAACAUUGUGAAGGUAUAUUCCACGUCAAUGGCAAUGUUGCUGACAACGGUUUUGUCUAUAUACCUUUUUAGCUUCAAGCCUACAUUGCAGCUUUUCCUGGGUAUCAUCAUCUGUAUGAUGUCACUGCACAUGUAUUUUGCCCAUCCAAACAUGCUUGUGGAUUUGCCAACGGUCAAAUCUCCUCCUGAGAGCCUAAAAGAAGUUUCUAUUGAACGACAAACAGAUUCCUGAUGUUUCUUAUAUGUCUAGAAGCUAAUUGUUUUGCUAGGUGCUCACUGAAAGUUGCAUUGCAAAUGGUUUUAAUUCAUGAGAUGCAACAAAGGGAAUAUUACACAAGUGUCCUUGUCUUGCUUGCACAGAUAUGCCUCCUUGGCUGGAUUUAGAGCCAAUUUUAUGACCAUCAUUCUUCUUCAAAACUAUUUGGCCAUCUGGUGAGACGUCAUGCAAGAAGCAUGAGGAUAACUUUUGUGAUCCAGGGUAGUUCAAAAGGUUUCUUCUUUAUCAUUUAUAGUAAGAG
rnacentral:misc_RNA from 1 species